UGGAUGAUGUGGAUUAAUUCGAUGCAACGCGAAAACCUUACCUACCCUUGACAUGUCCGGAAUCCCGAAGAGAUUUGGGAGUGCUCGCAAGAGAGCCGGAACACAGGUGCUGCAUGGCUGUCGUCAGCUCGUGUCGUGAGAUGUUGGGUUAAGCCCCGCAACGAGCGCAACCCUUGUCAUUAGUUGCCAUCAUUUGGUUGGGCACUCUAAUGAGACUGCCGGUGACAAACCGGAGGAAGGUGGGGAUGACGUCAAGUCCUCAUGGCCCUUAUGGGUAGGGCUUCACACGUCAUACAAUGGUCGGUACAGAGGGUUGCCAACCCGCGAGGGGGAGCUAAUCCCACAAAGCCGAUCGUAGUCCGGAUCGCAGUCUGCAACUCGACUGCGUGAAGUCGGAAUCGCUAGUAAUCGUGGGUCAGCAUGUCACGGUGAAUACGUUCCCGGGUCUU
rnacentral:rRNA from 1 species